CCUACGGGUGGCAGCAGUGGGGAAUAUUGGACAAUGGGCGAAAGCCUGAUCCAGCCAUGCCGCGUGUGUGAAGAAGGCCUUCGGGUUGUAAAGCACUUUCAGUGGGGAAGAAAGCCUUGGGGCUAAUACCCUCGAGGAAGGACAUCACCCACAGAAGAAGCACCGGCUAACUCCGUGCCAGCAGCCGCGGUAAUACGGAGGGUGCGAGCGUUAAUCGGAAUUACUGGGCGUAAAGCGCGCGUAGGCGGUCUGAUAAGCCGGUUGUGAAAGCCCCGGGCUCAACCUGGGAACGGCAUCCGGAACUGUCAGGAUAGAGUGCAGGAGAGGAAGGUAGAAUUCCCGGUGUAGCGGUGAAAUGCGUAGAGAUCGGGAGGAAUACCAGUGGCGAAGGCGGCCUUCUGGACUGACACUGACGCUGAGGUGCGAAAGCGUGGGUAGCAAACAGGAUUAGAUACCCCGGUAGUC
rnacentral:rRNA from 1 species